rnacentral:rRNA from 1 species
AGUGAACGCUGGCGGCGUGCUUAACACAUGCAAGUCGAACGAGAACGGAUUAUAGCUUGCUAUAAUUGUCAGCUAAGUGGCGCACGGGUGAGUAAUGUAUAGGUAAUAUGCCUCUUACUAAGGGAUAACAAAUGGAAACGUUUGCUAAUACCUUAUACUCCUUAUUAACAGAAGUUAAUAAGGGAAAGAUUUAUUGGUAAGAGAUUAGCCUGUAUUGUAUCAGUUAGUUGGUGGGGUAAUGGCUUACCAAGACUAUGACACAUAACUGGUUUGAGAGGAUGACCAGUCACACUGGAAGUGAGACACGGUCCAGACUCCUACGGGAGGCAGCAGAGGGGAAUAUUGCACAAUGGACGAAAGUCUGAUGCAGCAACGCCGCGUGGAGGAUGACACACUUCGGUGCGUAAACUCCUUUUAUAUGAGAAGAUAAUGACGGUAUUAUAUGAAUAAGCACCGGCUAACUCCGUGCCAGCAGCCGCCGUAA